GCUGGGCACAGCAGCGUGUAACUGUAGUCAUAGCUAUUUGAGAGGCUGAGGUGGGAGGAUCACUUGAGCUCAGGAGUUCAAGACCAGCCUGGGCAAUAAUGGGUUAGAUCUCAU
rnacentral:sRNA from 1 species